UACGUAGGGCGCAAGCGUUGUCCGGAAUUAUUGGGCGUAAAGAGCUCGUAGGCGGUCUGUCGCGUCUGCUGUGAAAUCCCGAGGCUCAACCUCGGGCUUGCAGUGGGUACGGGCAGACUAGAGUGCGUAGGGGAGAAUGGAAUUCCUGGUGUACGGUGGAAUGCGCAGAUAUCAGGAGGAACACCGAUGGCGAAGCAGUUCUUCUGGGCCGUAACUUGACGCUGAGGAGCGAAAGCGUGGGGAGCGAACAGGAUUAGA
rnacentral:rRNA from 1 species